rnacentral:tRNA from 1 species
UCGGGAUAGCUCAGCUGUAGAGCAGAGACUGAAAUCUCGUGUCACCAGUUCAAU